GUGGGGAAUAUUGGGCAAUGGGCGAAAGCCUGACCCAGCAACGCCGCGUGAGGGAAGAAGGCCUUCGGGUUGUAAACCUCUGUCCUUGGUGACGAAAAAAAUGACGGUAGCCAAGGAGGAAGCCCCGGCUAACUACGUGCCAGCAGCCGCGGUAAUACGUAGGGGGCGAGCGUUGUCCGGAAUUACUGGGCGUAAAGGGUGCGUAGGGGGCCUUUUAAGUUGGAUGUGAAAUACCCGGGCUUAACUUGGGGGGUGCAUCUAAUACUGGAGGGCUAGAGUGCAGGAGAGGGAAGCGGAAUUCCUAGUGUAGCGGUGAAAUGCGUAGAUAUUAGGAGGAACACCAGUGGCGAAGGCGGCUUUCUGGACUGUAACUGACACUGAGGCACGAAAGCGUGGGGAGCAAACAGGAUUAGAAACCCGGGUAGUCC
rnacentral:rRNA from 1 species